rnacentral:rRNA from 1 species
GAUGAACGCUGGCGGCGUGCCUAAAACAUGCAAGUCUAGCGAAGCGGGGACGGGUGAGUACCACGUGGAUAACCUCCUAUAAGACUGGGCUAACUUCGGGAAACCGGAGCUAACCCGGAUAUUUAUAAAUGGACCCGCGUUGCAUUAGCUAGUUGGUAGGGUAACGGCUUACAAAGGCAACGAUGCAUAGCCGACCUGAGAGGGUGAUCGGCCACACUGGAACUGAGACACGGUCCAGACUCCUACGGGAGGCAGCAGUAGGGAAUCUUCCGCAAUGGGCGAAAGCCUGACGGAGCAACGCCGCGUGAGUGAUGAAGGUCUUCGGAUCGUAAAACUCUGUUAUUAGGGAAGCGGUACCUAAUCAGAAAGCCACGGCUAACUACGUGCCAGCAGCCGCGGUAAUUC